AGCUCCAAUAGCGUAUAUUAAAGUUGUUGCAGUUAAAAAGCUCGUAGUUGAAUUUCUGAUAGAAGGGAGCGGUUCCGCAUUCUUGCGGAUACUGGCUCGUCUUCCGUCAUCCUUGGGCUUAGUCUCGCUGAUAUUAACUUAUCGGCGUGGACGAUGCCCAUCGUUUACUGUGAGCAAAUUAGAGUGUUCAAAGCAGGCAUUUUGCCAUUGAAUAUAUUAGCAUGGAAUAAUAAGAUAGGAUUUCACGAUUUUAUUUUGUUGGUUUGCGUUGUGAAAUAAUGAUUAAGAGGGACAGUUGUGAGUAUUCGUAUUCAGAUGUCAGAGGUGAAAUUCUUAGAUUAUCGGAAGACGAACGACUGCGAAAGCAUUUACCAAGGAUGUUUUCA
rnacentral:rRNA from 1 species